UGCGUAGGUGGCAUUAUAAGUCAGAGGUGAAAGCCUACCGCUUAAUGGUAGAACUGCCUUUGAUACUGUAGUGCUUGAAUUAGGCUGAGGUUAGCGGAAUGUGACAUGUAGCGGUGAAAUGCAUAGAUAUGUCAUAGAACACCAAUUGCGAAGGCAGCUAACUAGACCUAUAUUGACACUGAGGCACGAAAGCGUGGGGAGCGAACAGGAUUAGAUACCCUGGUAGUCC
rnacentral:rRNA from 1 species